GAUGUCAAGGUGCUGAGAACUGCCAAGACGCUCUGGCUUGUGGCAUGUGACACUCUGAGUAGGUAACAGGUACCAGCUACUGUCAGCAGGGAGGAAGGUAUGUGGUGACCACGAGUCCAGACCUGAGGGUCCUGACCCUCUAAUGCGGCCUCUCACCAGUGUUCGCAGAAACCCACCCGCUGAUUCAAUACGGGGACCAGGAACCUGCCAUGACAGUCACGACUCAGUCUGCCUGCACCUACAUGAUUAAAAAGCUUUAUUGCUCACACAAAGCCUGUUUGGUGGUCUCUUCAUAUGGAUGCGCAUAACAUUUGGUGCCGAAGACCCCGGACAGGGUGACUCCUUCGGGAGAUUGGUCCCCUCUCCUCACCCUCACUCCAUGAGAAGAUCCACCUACGACCUCAGGUCCUCAGACCAGCCCAAGGAACAUCUCACCAAUUUCAAACCGGACAGGAAUGUCAGGCCUCUGAGCCCGAGCUAAGCCAUCAUAUCCCCUGUGACCUGCGCUUAUACAUCCAGAUGGCCUGAAGCAACUGAAGAACCACAAAGAAGUGAAAAUACCCAGUUCCUGCCUUAACUGAUGACAUUCCACCAUUGUAAUUUGUUCCUGCCCCACCCUAACUGAUCAGUUGACCUUGUGACAUUCCUUCUCCUGGACAAUAAAUCUCAGGAGCUCCCCACUGAGCACCUUGUGACCCCCGCCUGUACCCGCAAGAGGACAACCCCCUUUAACUGUAAUUUUCCACUACCUACACAAAUCCUAUAAAACCGCCCCAUCCCUAUCUCCCUUUGCUGACUCUUUUUUCAGACUCAGUCUGCCUGCACCCACAUGAUUAAAAAGCUUAAUUGCUCACACAAA
rnacentral:lncRNA from 1 species